UACAGAGGUCUCAAGCGUUGUUCGGAUUCAUUGGGCGUAAAGGGUGCGUAGGUGGCGUGGUAAGUCGGAUGUGAAAUCCCGGGGCUCAACCCCGGAACUGCAUUCGAUACUGCCUUGCUAGAGUACUGGAGAGGAGAUUGGAAUUACGGUGUAGCAGUGAAAUGCGUAGAUAUCGUAAGGAAGACCAGUGGCGAAGGCGGAUCUCUGGACAGUUACUGACACUGAGGCACGAAGGCCAGGGGAGCAAACGGG
rnacentral:rRNA from 1 species